rnacentral:lncRNA from 1 species
GUAUACGAGUAUUUUCUAUUUUAUCUCAUGUAUACUCAUUAAGAAAAUGAAUCAAAGGACAAUGAUCCUUGACAAUUGUAAAUAUAUCCAUUCCUUCUUAAUAUAUUGGACUGCCCAAACAAUUCCAGUUCCAUCAUCGCAUAUCUGCACUCUGUCUCCGAUAUAAAACGAAACCAAAAUUGAAUUAAUUCUAUCUCUUGUCUUAGUUCAUUUGUAAUAAGGCAAAUCCCAGGCCCCCUUUUGUUGAAGCAUCAGUGUGCAAUACUAUAGGACGAGUUAGAUCGAAAGGAACUAGAACUUCAGAAACUAGUUAUUUUGUCAUGCACUUGAAAAUUUGACGAAAUAUAAGCGAUCAAAUUGAUGCUCUCCAUCACAGUCAACAUCAACAAUUUAUAGCAAAUAUAAGUCUUCGGCUAUUAGUUUUAAAAUAUUAUGAUUAGUAAAUAUAUUUUUUUGAUUUAUUUUGUUGAAGAUAUAAUUUUUAUAAUUUAUGAAAAUAUUAAAUAACAAAACGUAGACGUUAAGAAAAUAAGCACUAUACUGAAUUUUUUAUAAUUCGAUGGCCUGGAACUACUAAAGCAUUCUGCAACAAGUAUAAAUCGUAGUAAAUUAAUUAAAUAUAUUAUAAGGUUAAACAAUUAAGACAAAAUAAAAAUAAAAACUUAAA